rnacentral:tRNA from 1 species
CUAGCUCUGCCUCAGUUGGUUAGAGCUCUGCAACGGAAUCGCAGGACCGCCGGUUCGAUUCCUGCGAGAGG